GCUGUCAGAGGCGUCGAGGUGGGCGACGCCAUCUCCCAUCCAACAGCUCUCCCACCUCGCGCAGCGCGCCGACGCCGUCAACCUCGCCAAGGGGUUCCCCGACUUCCCCGCACCCGCCCAUGUCAAGGCCGCCGCCACCGCAGCCAUCACCGCCGACCUCAACUAGUACAGGUCCGCCUCCCGCGACUCCAUGUCUCCAUUGCCACUGGUUCAGUCACCCUAUCUACCCUCUGCCUAUGGUGACGCGCAUUUUGGUUCGAAAGCUCUUUUGGUUUGUUGGUUAGGCAUGUGCAGGGGAUCUGCGACGUGCUCGUGGAGACGAUGAAACGGGAAACGGGCUCCACGUAGACCCUCUCUCUGACUUCGCCAUCUGCUGCGUCCAAUCCGAGGCCUUCGCUGCAGCAAUAUUUGCAAGUAUCAUAGACCCAAGGGAUCAGGUUCGGCUCUUCGACCCCGCUGACGAAACGUACCAAAUGUGCAUCGAGCUGGCCCGGGGUGUCCCUGUGUAUGUGCCAUU